rnacentral:rRNA from 1 species
GAUGAACGCUGGCGGCGUGCCUAACACAUGCAAGUCGAGCGAAGCACUUUGCUUAGAUUCUUCGGAUGAAGAGGAUUGUGACUGAGCGGCGGACGGGUGAGUAACGCGUGGGUAACCUGCCUCAUACAGGGGGAUAACAGUUAGACAUGACUGCUAAUACCGCAUAAGACCACAGCACCGCAUGGUGCGGGGGUAAAAACUCCGGUGGUAUGAGAUGGACCCGCGUCUGAUUAGCUAGUUAGUAAGGUAACGGCUUACCAAGGCGACGAUCAGUAGCCGACCUGAGAGGGUGACCGGCCACAUUGGGACUGAGACACGGCCCAAACUCCUACGGGAGGCAGCAGUGGGGAAUAUUGCACAAUGGGGGAAACCCUGAUGCAGCGACGCCGCGUGAGCGAAGAAGUAUUUCGGUAUGUAAAGCUCUAUCAGCAGGGAAGAAAAUGACGGUACCUGACUAAGAAGCACCGGCUAAAUACGUGCCAGCAGCCGCGGUAAUACGUAUGGUGCAAGCGUUAUCCGGAUUUACUGGGUGUAAAGGGAGCGUAGACGGAUGGGCAAGUCUGAUGUGAAAACCCGGGGCUCAACCCCGGGACUGCAUUGGAAACUGUUCAUCUAGAGUGCUGGAGAGGUAAGUGGAAUUCCUAGUGUAGCGGUGAAAUGCGUAGAUAUUAGGAGGAACACCAGUGGCGAAGGCGGCUUACUGGACAGUAACUGACGUUGAGGCUCGAAAGCGUGGGGAGCAAACAGG